UUCCCCAAGUAAUGGUAGAAUAAAAAGAACAAAAAUCCGAACAACAGAGUAGCCAAUACUCAGAAGAGAAGAUGAAGAAUCCAUAGACGUUCCAAUCAAAGUUGGAGAAGAAGUGGUCAAAUCCAGUACUCAGAAAGGAGAAAGUGGAACUCCAAAUCUGAACAGCAGAGCAAUGAUGGGGAGAGCAAGGAGGUCUAGCCUUCAGCGACGGUGUUGAGGUAUGGCCAUGGGCGGUCUUCAGCAUCGAUGAGAGGAAGAAGGUUGCCCCGAUUUUUAUAAUUCUUUUGAAUGACCACUUAAGAAGAAGAGGUAGAAUUAUGUGUGCUAUUUACAUUAAUUCUUAUAUAAACGACAUUUAGCUUUAGGUGGGUGUUUCAAUGGAAUAACUAUGUCUGUGUAGCAGCAACUCCUAAAACAACCAAACAGUUUAAAAAAUGUCUGUGUAGCAACAACUCCUAAAACAACCAAACAGUUUAAAAAAGAAACAAAGAAAACCACGUUUCACUAGAAAAACUCUCCAACGAAUUAUACAACCAAACACAUCAAGUUUUCAAGGGAGGAGUUGCUCACCAAAGUAGUGGAGAGAAAGGGCUACUGCAAGUCAAAAUUGAGAAGGUUGUAGACCAGUUUUUAGAUGUAUUUAACGAUUUCUAUGGCCGCUGCAAGCCGAAAUCGAGAAGAUUGUAGACCAGCAUUCAGAGGUAUUUAACGAUUUCUAGGGCUGCAGCAAGUUGAAAUUGAGAAGGUUGCAGAACAACAUUCAGAGAACCAAGAGUAUGGAACUUGAGAGCUCAGGGAGAAUGAAAGCUAGCCUAUAUUUGCCUCUGAUACUGAGAAACCAAAAGAUGGAAAAGAGAACCCAGCCAAUAGAAAGAGCUAACGUAAUAGUGAGGAGCUGCACAGUGGUAUGAAACACCCAGCUACAAAGAAGCUUUGCAGGGUAAAUGAUGAUGAUCACUGAUAACUUUGCUGAGGGGUCCCAGUGAAAAAUUGAAGUCUGGAUUAGGGAGAGGAAUUUCUCAGAAGCCUGUAGAUACCAAUGAAAAUGAUGAAAGAUGAUAUGGAUGAUAAAUAUAUUGAAUCUCUAUUUUGUUUCUGCAGUUGAUGUUAACCCUAUUGAUGUAAACAUGAGACUUCUAUCCUUGCCUUCUACUCUUAGUGAUUUACUUAUCCAAAAAACAGGGAGAAAGAAAUAGUGAUUUACUUUUAAUGACAUCUUGCUAUUCCCUUGAGAUUCUCUAA